rnacentral:rRNA from 1 species
CACGUAGGAGGCGAGCGUUGUCCGGAAUCAUUGGGCGUAAAGAGCGCGCAGGCGGCUUGGCAAGUCGGGUGUGAAAUCCCGGGGCUCAACCCCGGGACUGCAUUCGAUACUGUCAGGCUAGAGGUAGGUAGGGGAGAUCGGAAUUCCUGGUGUAGCGGUGAAAUGCGCAGAUAUCAGGAGGAACACCGGUGGCGAAGGCGGAUCUCUGGGCCUUACCUGACGCUGAGGCGCGAAAGCUAGGGGAGCAAACAGG